rnacentral:rRNA from 1 species
CCUACGGGAGGCAGCAGUGGGGAAUAUUGCACAAUGGGGGAAAGCCUGAUGCAGCAACGCCGCGUGAACGAUGACGGCCUUCGGGUUGUAAAGCUCUGUCCUCACGGGAGAUAAUGACGGUACUUGAGGAGGAAGCCCCGGCUAACUACGUUCCAGCGGCCGCGGUAAUACGUAGGGGGCUGACGUUAUCCGGAAUUACUGGGCGUAAAGGGUGCGUAGGUGGUUUUUUAAGUCAGAGGUGAAUGGCUACGGCUCAACCGUAGUAUGCCUUUGAAACUGGGAAGCUUGAGUGCAGGAGAGGAGAGUGGAAUUCCUAGUGUAGCGGUGAAAUGCGUAGAUAUUAGGAGGAACACCAGUUGCGAAGGCGGCUCUCUGGACUGUAACUGACACUGAGGCACGAAGGUGUGGGGAGCAAACAGGAUUAGAUACCCUAGUAGUC